ensembl:ncRNA asRNA:CR46264 antisense RNA:CR46264
UUAAAUUUAAUUCGUUUACAUAUUUAGUGCUUAGAGAUUAUUUCUAAUACAAUGACUCUGGUUCCAGGAUCUCGUAGGUUGAAAGCGGCAGGACGUCAUUGCCAAAGUAGUUGGCUCCACCUGGUGCAAUCUCCGGCACUGGAUCGUUGUAAAGACGUUCGAGGAAGGGACUUCUGGACAUCAUCAUCCUAGAGCUGAUGACCGGGCGCCUCUUCACGAAAUAAUCCCUCCUGUGUGGCCUCCUCAUGGGCGAUAUCUGGUCCAUGAUUUCGUUGCUCAUUCUUCUCUCCGCCGGCAGCGAUGUGACCUCAUUGAGUAUUGAAGAUCUCGACCUGGGUCGUGCCCAUGCGAUAAGGACCAAACAGGCAAUGACCAGAAUAAGAAGGGCAAGUUUAGAGCUCGACAUCUUGACUGCUUGGCAGUUUGGUAUUGAAUGUACUAAUGGCGUUCGGCGCGUAGGAAUUUAUAGUGGCAAAGAUACGUCACAGGUAGUCCUAAAAGGCGUACCCUUUAAGUAAUUUAUAAUUAUGCCAUGUGUUUGUCGUACCUGGUUUUACCUACUUUUAUUGUCAACAAAUGUCUACAAAUCGGAGUCUGCGAUUUUACAUCUUUAAAUUGCUCGUUUUGUCUACUACUUAAAAAUAUAUUUAAAUAUAUAACAUGUAAGUUAUUAAAAUAAGUU